AUGGAGACAGACUGCUUAGAGGUAGUGAACCUCUGGAUAUCUCGCCACAAUAAUCGCUCUGUUGUGGCACCUUUACUUGUAGAAAUUGGAGAGCGAGCUGCAAAUUUUACUUCUUUUGUAUUCAACAUAAACAGGUCCGCCAACGUACCGGCCCAUAUUUGUGCUAAGCAUGCAUGCUCACUGAUGGUAACCGAGAGUUGGACUGAUGUUAGACCUCCCUUUCUGCUCACUAGCCUGAUGGCUAAUGAUGUCAGGGUUUCUUUAGUUGAAUAA
rnacentral:rRNA from 1 species